GCAACCCCCGCCAGAAGGACGGUACCGCCAUAUCGCUAGGAGCUCCGCCAGUCAUCGCCGAGGGGAGUCAUCGAAGUUGCAGCCAGUUUGGUUUCAGCAGCUAGGUUUCUUGUCAUGUCAAGAAUCGAGACAGGAUCGGCCAGGAUAACUCGUUGCAGGAGAAGAAACGCUCGGACGAGGGCCCCAUCAUAAGCCCAUUUCGCCUGGAGUCAGCCAACUGGAGCCACCAGGCGAGGAUUCGUUGCCAAGGGCUGUGAAAGGAUAAGUGAUUAAUUGUAUCUUUGUUGUUUUGUUGACUGAGUUGUUUUUGUUUUUAGUUUUUAGCGAAUUUUGCGAGGAAGCUAAAUUUGGUGAUCAUUUUUUUGACGCGGGUCAGUGUGUGAAUUCGCGACUGACGAAUUUUGGCAUUUUGGCUAGCAGUAGGUCCACUCAUCGACGGAUGACUGCAGCAUGGAGACGGAGUGUAAAUUCGCAGGAUUGUCAGCCUCGUUUUCGUUGGUUUGUGAUCUUUUAAAUAAUUUCCUUGAUUUAUUUUGAGCCGAUUACAUAUUUAUAUUCUUUGUUUAUAAGAGAUUCGUCAGCAUGCAUCCGGGGUUACAUCAUGCGAGGAGUGGUUUAUGCUGCCGUCAGGGGGCCAAAAUGCGUUUUCGUGGUGGCAGGAUUCAGGCAUUUCGGCGAGCAGCAGCACCACGCAACUUGGGCUAGGGAGGACUACAGCAAGAUGUUCAAUAAAGUAUAUAAUUCAUUGUAAAAAAAGCGCUUGUGCGACAUCCUUCAAGCCGCAGGAUUUUCGUCGAAACACGAUUUGAAAUGGCCUGGCUUGACACUAUCGGUUGUGGAAUAUUUUAAAUCGAUGGGGCAAUUGAUGUCAACAUUGCAGCCAUACUAACCCAGCAGUCGGGCUGGCUGUCAGGAUUGCAGGUCCUUGGAGGGAAUGGAUCAGGGGCCUUGUGCCAUGAAUUCUGUCUGCAUGUCGAGGAAUAUAUGUCGCUGCGGGACAAAAAGAUAAAUUCGAGGACCACAAAUUCGGUUACUUAAAGGAGCAGGGGAACCGCGCAUUCGGCCAACAUCGACGAGGAAGCAUUGUUUGAAGGAGACGUCUUUUAAGGAUCAUCGAUUUUUUGUCAAAUAAGACCUAAAUGAGCGACAUUUUGUACUGACUGAGGGAUCCAGUCACCACUCGCGACAGCGCAGGAGUAGAAUCAGCACUGGGAAGUCUGACCCCUUUUC